CUAAUAAAGAGAUAACCUCUGAACUUAAAAAGAGGGUGUAUCUCAUUGAUCUCUGUUUCACGCGUGUGUGUCGAAUGGUAGUGUUGUAUCGGCACGCAUCGUAUUAGAGUGUCAAAUUAACUGCCUCCAAUAAGAAUCGAACUUCCAACGAAAUUCGCCAGUGGCCCAAUUGCUUAAGCCAUCGGCUCAGAAACAGCAGGAGAUCCCGGGUUCGAAUCUCAGUUUGAAAAAUUGAUUCACAGUCGCAGAUUCCUCGUCUUCUUAAAUAAAUUAAUUAUACACAUUGAAAGAAAUGUUACACGUGAAGAGAAUGAUAACCCGUUACUGUCUUGCAGUAAUGCUUUACACAUAAUUGUGAAAGGUAAAGAAGAGGAAUCCGUGAGUUACGGAUUCGAAUCCCAAGUGAGACUCGGGCUCUACUGAAAAUCCUUGGUGCAUGUCUUUUGCUCCUAGAAUAUUUUUUUUUUAAAGCCAGGAUGUUUUAUAUUUACGACUCUUAUUAAUAAGUUGUAUGGUUUUUUUUUUCUUUUGUAGGGCCUAAUUUAUGAACAAAAUAAGAAAAAUAAAUGUUAUCAUUGAAUUGAUUUGAAUUAACCAACUGGGUUAAUAAUUCGAUUCCGAUUACAGGUAACUGAUUUUCGCACUCUUUUCCACAUGCGUAGAACAAGCUCUCGACAGCGAAUAACAGAGAUCAAAUGGAUAAUCCCUUCUUUUAAAUGAUGUUUUAUGUCCUUAUAAUUGUUAAGAUGUGUAAUUUUUAUAUAGUAAUGAUGUGAUGUCAACAUGACAAUAUUUAUUUAGUCAUGUCACAUGUUUUUGAAAUAAAUAAAAUAUUAUAAGACCUUACAAGAUAGUGGCACUGACCAUUUUAUACACACCAUACCAAUCAGCGACGACCGAGUUACAGUAGGUUUCAGAAUAAAAAAAAAUAUCUAGAUGCCAAUAAGAUCAUGAAAAGAAUGAACCUUUUUGCUAAGCCCCGCCCAUUGGAUACUGUUGCUAAGGUCCCGUUACGUAAAGACGUGCUUUUUGGGACGGCGUAUUCCUGGCACUUUUCUGAUUGGUCAGUGGUUAAGGUUUGAUUUACACUCCGAAAAGCUCCAUUCACAGAUCUGAAUUUCACAGUUUUCAGAUUAUUUUUGAUUACACUAUCCGUAGUCAAUUCCACCGAGACAGUACUGCUGAAACAUUAUUCAAAACAUUAAUGUUUUCAAGAUAACGGAAGGACAUGACCACAAAGAGGAAAACCGUUGACAUACUUUCAACCGCACAUCAUGAUCAAUUUAUCUACCGAGGAAAUACCGCAUCUCCUGUGUACGAGGUCUUAAUUAUAAGGAUUGUUUUCGAAUGCAGCAAUCUUGCUGUCAGUUCACCGUUAUAAGCUACAGUCUCAAAAACCGAUUCAACACUGUUGGUAUGUCUACAUUACUUUUAGAUUCACCGUUUUUGUUCCGUCCUUCUUAGUGCAUUAAUUUCUAAAUAAUAAUUUAAUUUCUGGUCCUACGUUCAGAUCGUCACACGUUCAGCGGAAACCAAAUAACCACACAACGAAGAAAACUUAGUUACGAUUAGUGCAUUCCAAAGAUUUGUCUGCCCAGAAGUGAAUGGAAUAUUGACGCCAUUCUGUCGAGAGCUUACGAAAAUAACCCAGAGAGAUGUCGACCGAGCAUAUUCAUUUCCGGACGUGUACGACGACUUGUUGGAAUGGAUGAGGGACAACGGGUUAAAGCUUAAACCAGAACGGCAGAACUUUACUUUCGUCACUGAUGGUAUCUUCGACUGCAACCAGUACAUACGAAAUCAGUGCAAGCUCUCCAAGCUCAAGUUUCCAAAAUGGGCGAAAAGUUUCAGUAACAUCAAAAAACAUUUCAACUAUGUUCUACCGCAUAUGAAGAGGACCGAUAGGAGAUCAAAUAGCAUCACGGACAUGAUGGAAAAACUUAAGAUUCCAAUGGAUGGUCAGUUGCACCGGGCUAUUGAUGACGCGAAGCAGGUGGUGAAGAUAAUGAAAGGUCUUCGAGAACUCCGACCUAAUUUCGAAUUUACAGACAAUGAAACAAUUAAGCCUUAUUGGAGUAUGAGAUUCUUCGACUAAACGCCUAUGCCUAAUGAAUCACAUUUCCACUUCAAUCAUUAUUACUGAACGAAUAUUAGCCUGAAUUGUUGGAAAUUCGAUUCUAAGCUUUUUAUGGUUAUAAAAAAGAUAUAGUUUGACAUUUAGUUUAAUUGGACUUUUUAACGUAUAGUACAGAGCCCCUAUGAGAUGUUUUCGAUGUAACGAAAUAAUUUCGUUCCCUCAACAUAAUAUUUUAUAAUAAUAACGAAAUAUUAUCAACGGAAUGGUUAUUAUUGUUUUAAACCACUGUUACGUGCCGUAUGUAAUGUAUCGGGUGCUCUGAAGUGUGACGAAACGUUCUGGGGAUGUAAACAGACGAUGGACCCGGGCUGUCUAAAAGACAUUAUUAAAUUACCCAAAAUCUCGUUGUUUCACUCCUUACCUUCCCUAGCUUUUACAUUUUCCCUUUUACAGUAAUUUUAUCAGUCUGUAAAAAAGGGCAAUAUCCCGGCCGUUAUAAUCAGAAAUUGGGUAAUUAACCGUUUUCAUCGCUAAUUGAUCGGUAUUUUUACAAUCUACAUAGAUGUUUUACACUGUUACUGUAAGGUAUAUGGAAUGAAACGGAUUGGUAUAAUCAUUUCGGUAACGUCUCACUAUGAACCUUUCCGAUAAACCGCGUCCCCUGGAUAUGGUUACUAAGGUCCCCACAAAGUGACAGUGUAAAAACAUAUGCAAAAAAAGUGCGUUUAUAUCACUGAUCUUUAUUGAGCUGCAUUGCUAAUCGGCCAAAAAUUGUACAAAAAAGUGAAGUCACUGACGCCAUAUGCAACAACACAAGUGAUACCAGUCCAGACCAGUUGUUUUUUUCUUUUUCUUUUUAAAUUAUUGUUUAAAAUAUCUAUCCUCUAAACACUCAACGCUCAAGCAAUGUCGUGCUGUGUUUUAGUCAAUGAGAUCAGUGGUUUGUGGGAGAUGCAAUGAAUUAACAUUUUCUUUUUGUAGAAGAAUUAUUGAAGACUGGAAUUCCAUUUCUUGGAUAAAUCUAAUAACCUUUGUAUGCCGUUCAUUAUCAUAUUGUUAAAACUAAAUUUGAACAUUAAAAAAAUAAGGAAGCUAUCUGUGCUCCUUUUUCAAAGUAUUGAAAAGCCAUGCUCUUCAGUGUACUUUGCUAUCAUUUUUAAUGUCCGACUCACAGAAACUAUAGAUGCAAUGAAUUAAAUUUUCCUUUUUUAGAAGAAUUAUUGAAGACUGGAAUUUCAUUUCUAUUGAUGAUAGGAACCACAGAAACUCUACAUCAUUUUAAACUUUUAUUGAAACAAUAAUAUAAUCUUCCACGUUUCCCCGAUCUCUGUCCUGUUAUGUUUGCUUCAGUUUUACAAUGCAUAUUUAUUUAUUUAUUAUUGCCUUAGUAUUGUGAUUUAUCUUCUAAUUUCAUUCCUUAUAUUAUUUUCUCUUUUUCGCUUGGUAUAGUGUUUCUUUUUUUUUUUAGUUAGGCCUACCUCGUUAAUUUUAAAUAAAACUAAAAAAAAAAAAAAUUAUAAAAAUAUAAAAAUAUAUAAAAUAAGUUAACAUAAAUGACCUUGCACUUGCUAAAAACGUAUUUAAAUUGAUUAAAAGGUGCAGUAAACCGUAAAGAUAAUUUUGGAUCUGACAUUUCCAAAAAAAAAAAAAAAAUAAAUUAUA